GAUAGAGUCUCUGCCUUGAAGGGCUCAUUAUGUUAGCAGAUGGCGUUUGUGCAUGUGAGAGCAGUAGAGAUCCUCUUCUAUAUUAGUACAACUGUAUUCCAAGUACACUUACAUGUUACGUGUGUUAAAAGCAGUGUUUUUAUUAUAAUAUAAAACAUAUUAAACCAAAUCUCUUAAGCACCUUUCAUAUUAAUGUACCAUAAAAUACUUGGUAAACUUAAUUGCCUUUCAUUCUUAAACCCACUAACAUUUGAAAGUAUCUGAAUAUUUGCCAGCCCAGGACAAUGAUGUAAUUCACUUGAUUGUUCCCAGAUUUCAUCCUUUAGUUAUUUUGGAUUAUCUAGCAUAUGGAUUUUCAAACUAGCCUGUUAAACAUCCCUCCUUAAGGUCUACGGAGUGAAAAGUUUUGAGAAUGAUAGGGAGGGGUCAUUCCGUUAGUGAGUGGAUAGGAUUGCUCUUAUGUGAUCUUCAGAAUGCAAUAGCUGAAGAGAAUUUUAUGUAGUACAAGUGAAUCCAAGAUGUGUAGCUACGUGGAAAAUAUAGUUGAAUGCUAUCAUGUGCAAUUAUCUAGAGAUGCAUAUAAUUUGUUGUGUUGUGGUUUUGGGGUGCGGUGGUGAAACUACUCCAAAACCAUUUCUUUACUAUAGUGAGACCUUGAUAAACCAGCUAAACUUGCACACAAUGGAAUCUUACAAGCAAUGUUGUGCUGUACAUGUAUUUACUGUAUUGAAACGGACAGUAAUUAUAGGCUCUCGUAAUGUGUAAGUGCAGUGUCAGAACUGAAAAAAUCCUCUGAUUUUAAAAUCUGAUUUGCAUAUAAAUUAAGUAAGAAAAUCAGUUAUUUCCACUAGUAAACUAUGCAUAUACAGUGUGUAUAUUGCGGGGCAGUGAGAUGUUACUUUACUACCUAAGAACAGUUGCACUCUAAAACUGUACAAAAAUUGCUUUAAGCUAGGAAACUUUAUUUGUAUGUUUUUUCUAAACUUGUGCAGUGGUUAAAGCAGACAUGGAAAAACCUGACCAAGCAGUUUUUACCCCCCAUCUUGGGAGAGGCCCUUUAGGUAUCUCUACAUUUCAGUUAGAUACUCUUGGCUGGUCUGUGCCAGCUGACUUGGGAUAAGGGGCUUUUUAAUUGGGAUAUAGACAUUCCUGCUGGAGCCUGGGCUCUAGGAUCCUGUGAGGUGGUUGAAUGGCCCCUUAGCCCAAGCUGUGUGAGCCUGAGUAAACUACUGUGAGUUUUUUAAAUUGUGGAGUAUACAUACCCUGUGCUGAGUUUGGAAUGACUGUGUUAAUUUUUAUCUUCAUUCCAUUCCAGAACCAGGUAGGCUCUCCAUUCCCACUUCAUUGUUAAGAGUUAAACUCUUUCUGGUGUUUAGGUAAUGUCAUAUAAGUAACCUGGUUACAAGGUUUUAGUCUAAUUCUUGCUGGUUCACCAGCUAGCCUGGCUUUUCCAUCUUUGCUCACUGCUGCUUCAACUGUUCUCUCUUUCUCUUGAGAAUCUAUUUUUGAAGGAAAAAGGAAGUAAUAUGUCCAUCUCAGUCAUUGCACUAAGAAUAAUCUUGUGCUUGUGGAAAGCCAUUGGAAAGGUUAGCUUUUUUUCUGUAAUGUCUUUAGUCCCUGCCCUCUCCACUCUGAUCCACUGACCCUUCACUGAUUGUGACUGUGCUGGUGAGUUAAGUUAAUUUCUUUUACUUUGCAGUGGACCAAAUCCUCUGCUAUGUCAAGUAUCUCAGGGGAAGGGGUACAUCAGGGAGCCAGUUAUGGCUUCCUAAUGUCUGCAUGCCCUUCCUAGUUUAGUUAGUUGGUAACGGUCCCAAAGGGACCAUCUGCCUCUUGAAGAUACCCGGAGCACAACACCCCUCCGUGCCAGACAUGAUUGUCUGCACUGUAGGGUGGAGUAUACAUGCUGGCUAUACUAGCUCUGUGGCGUCUGAGUUAUUGCUAGCUAGGAGCAGCAUGAGAGGAGCAGGUCAAGGAACCUGGUCUGGUAGGUCUUUCCUUCAGUACAACCCUAAUUCAAUCCAGAUAAAGCUGUGUUUGUGUAUAUAGUACAGCAAGAAGAAUCUACAGAAAACAAGUUUAAAUAUGCAUUACUCAGUCUGUCUAGAUGUCUGGGAAUUUGAUUAUGCAAAAGACUUUAAGACAUUCAGAAAUCUUAACUGUGAGAUUUCCUUAUACCAUCAGUGGUUCUGUCUGUUCAUAAACGUAUCUUGCAUUUCUUCUCAGUGGAGUUUCUCUUCUUUGGCCUUUGGUUUGUCACUUCUUGUUGGAAAUGCUUCCAUUUCUAUCUGUUAUAUAUGAAAAUCUUGCUAUGGCAAGGAAAAAUACUGUAAAUAACAUAUUGGUGUUUUUGAUUAAAAUUUAUCCUCUCUGGUUAGCUGUCAUGUCCCUGCAGAGAUUUCAAAGUUCCUUCUUUCACUCUGGGGCCUAAAGUGUCUAUUGCAUAUACAAACUAAACUACCAACACCUAAAUCCCAAAGAAGAGUGAUUACAAUUCUAUGUCUUUCAUGUAUUUUGCUGUCUUGGCUACUAGGAGAAUGGUGUUGCAAACUCUGGAUGUGCAUAUUGAGAGCCCUGUAUGCACUACAAAACUAAUUUCUUUCUGACACCAGUCAUCUACAUCAGUUUGUCCUGAACCAUUGGCAAAGAGGUUCCACUGGAGGACCUCUGUAGAGUCUCAGGGUUGUUUUGUGACCUCUGUCUGAUGCCUGAAUUGAAGGGGACAUAUGUGUCCAACCUUUUAACAAAUGCAUUCUUUAU